rnacentral:lncRNA from 10 species
CAGUUUGAGAAGAUGGCGGCCUGAACCGGAGUCCUUCUUCCCCUCCUCCCUCUCCGCUGCUGCAAUGCCCAGGCCCCCCGCAACGUUCCUCGUCUGUAAUGGUGCCAGAGGCUUUAAAUCUUGCAGAAGCCACAUCUGCUGCCUGCAGCAGAGAUGGGGUUUCACCAUAUUGGCCAGGCUGGUCUUGAACUCAAGAUGAUUCGCCCAACACAGCCUCUCAAAGUGCUGGGAUUACAGUCUCCGGUAUGUCAUUAUCAGCAGUGUGAAAAUGGACUCACUCCCACCCUGUCUGGAUCUGGACAAGAGCCCACCACCCCGUUGGCAGUAGUCAGGCAGCUCUGCUUCUAAGAACCUGCAGCUUUUGGAAGAAAGGCACCCUGUGGUUUCAGAAGCC